UACGUAGGGACCAAGCGUUGUUCGGAUUUACUGGGCGUAAAGGGCGCGUAGGCGGCGCGGUAAGUCACUUGUGAAAUCUCUGAGCUUAACUCAGAACGGCCAAGUGAUACUGCAGUGCUAGAGUGUGGAAGGGGCAAUCGGAAUUCUUGGUGGAGCGGUGAAAUGCGUAGAGAUCAAGAGGAACACCGGUGGCGAAGGCGGCCCUCUGGUCCAUUACUGACGCUGAGGCGCGAAAGCUAGGGGAGCAAACGGG
rnacentral:rRNA from 1 species